rnacentral:lncRNA from 1 species
UUAGAAUUUAGAGUUUGAUUAGGAUUUCAUUUAGGAUAUAGGGCUUGAUUUAGGGUUUAGAAUUUGAUUAAGAUUUGGUUUAGGGUUUAGAUUUUAGUUAGAAUUACACUUAAGAUUUAGGAUUUGGUUUAGGAUUUAGGGUUUGGUUUAGGAUUUGGUCAGGGUUUGGUUUAGAAUUUAGGAUUUGAUUUAGAGUUUAAGGUUUAGUUAGGAUUUGAUUUAGGAUUUAGGAUUUGAUUUAGGAUUUAUUUAAGAAUUGAUUAGAGUUUGGUUUAGGAUUUAAUUAGAGUUUGGUUUAAGAUUUAGAGUUUGGUUUAGGAUUUAGGAUUUGAUUUAGGGUUUAAAAUUUAGUUAGGAUUUGAUUUAGGAUUUAGGGUUUGGUUUAGGGUUUAUUUAGAAAUUACUUAGAGUUUGGUUUAGGAUUUGAUUAGGAUUUGAUUUAGGAUUUAGGAUUUGAUUUAGAGUUUAAGGUUUAAUUAGGGUUUGAUUUAGGAUUUGUUUAGAGAUUGGUUAGAGUUUGGUUUAGGAUUUGAUUAGGGUUUGAUUUAGGGUUUAGGAUUGGAUUCAAGGUCUAGGAUUUUAUUAGGAUUUGUUUAGGAUUUAAAAUUUAAUUAGUUUUGGUCUAAAAUUUGAAUAAAGUCCAAUAGGAUUUUAAUUAGGAUUAAAUUAAUAUUGAAUUGUGAUGUAUUUGAGAUAUAUUUGUGAUCAUUUUAAUAUUUUUUUAAGAUUUCUUAUUGUUUCUUUGAAAUUUCUUUGAGGU